rnacentral:rRNA from 1 species
AUACGUAGGGUGCAAGCGUUAAUCGGAAUUACUGGGCGUAAAGCGUGCGCAGGCGGUUUUGUAAGACAGAGGUGAAAUCCCCGGGCUCAACCUGGGAACUGCCUUUGGGACUGCAAGGCUAGAGUACGGCAGAGGGGGAAGGAAUUUCGCGUGGAGCGGUGAAAUGCGUAGAUAUGCGGAGGAACACCGAUGGCGAAGGCAAUCCCCUGGGCCUGUACUGACGCUCAUGCACGAAAACGUGGGGAGCAAACAGGAUUAGAUACCCUGGUAGUCCACGCCCUAAACGAUGUCAACUGGUUGUUGGGUCUUCAUUGACUCAGUAACGAAGCUAACGCGUGAAGUUGACCGCCUGGGGAGUACGGCCGCAAGGUUGAAACUUAAAGGAAUUGACGGGG